CGGGGACCGGGGGUACGGGGUAGGUAAGUUAAGUGUCGGUAACGGCGCGAUGGAGGGGGAUAACUACUGGAAACGGUAGCUAAUACCGCAUAACGUCGCAAGACCAAAGAGGGGACCUUCGGGCCUCUUGCCAUCGGAUGUGCCCAGAUGGGAUUAGCUAGUAGGUGGGGUAACGGCUCACCUAGGCGACGAUCCCUAGCUGGUCUGAGAGGAUGACCAGCCACACUGGAACUGAGACACGGUCCAG
rnacentral:rRNA from 1 species